GCCUACUAUAGGGGGGAGCUGCCUGCCUGCCCACGCACCUUGGUGGGUCAGGAUGGCGUGCCAUGGGGCUCCCUCCCAGCGCCCCAGCAAGCUUUCCCAAGCAUGCUGGUGCGUUUUUCCAUGGCCAUGUGGGAAAUUCGACCGAGUCAAAAAUAGUCCACGCCGAAUCCAGGUCGUACGUGUCCCGGUUCUGGCUGGUCCAACGG